UACGUAGGGGGCAAGCGUUGUCCGGAUUUAUUGGGCGUAAAGAGCGUGUAGGCGGUUUGGUAGGUCCGUUGUGAAAACUCGAGGCUCAACCUCGAGACGCCGAUGGAAACCAUCAGACUAGAGUCCGGAAGAGGAGAGUGGAAUUCCUGGUGUAGCGGUGAAAUGCGCAGAUAUCAGGAGGAACACCGGUGGCGAAGGCGGGUCUCUGGGCAGUAACUGACGCUGAGGCACGAAGGCCAGGGGAGCAAACGGG
rnacentral:rRNA from 1 species